rnacentral:rRNA from 1 species
AGAUGGCGACCGGCGCACGGGUGAGUAACACGUAUCCAACCUGCCGAUAACUCUGGAAUAGCCUUUCGAAAGAAAGAUUAAUACCGGAUGGCAUACGAAUAUCGCAUGAUAUUUUUAUUAAAGAAUUUCGGUUAUCGAUGGGGAUGCGUUCCAUUAGUUUGUUGGCGGGGUAACGGCCCACCAAGACAACGAUGGAUAGGGGUUCUGAGAGGAAGGUCCCCCACAUUGGAACUGAGACACGGUCCAA